CCUACGGGUCGCAGCAGUGGGGAAUAUUGCACAAUGGGCGCAAGCCUGAUGCAGCCAUGCCGCGUGUAUGAAGAAGGCCUUCGGGUUGUAAAGUACUUUCAGCGGGGAGGAAGGUGUUGUGGUUAAUAACCGCAGCAAUUGACGUUACCCGCAGAAGAAGCACCGGCUAACUCCGUGCCAGCAGCCGCGGUAAUACGGAGGGUGCAAGCGUUAAUCGGAAUUACUGGGCGUAAAGCGCACGCAGGCGGUCUGUCAAGUCGGAUGUGAAAUCCCCGGGCUCAACCUGGGAACUGCAUUCGAAACUGGCAGGCUAGAGUCUUGUAGAGGGGGGUAGAAUUCCACGUGUAGCGGUGAAAUGCGUAGAGAUGUGGAGGAACACCAGUGGCGAAGGCGGCUCUCUGGUCUGUAACUGACGCUGAGGCGCGAAAGCGUGGGGAGCAAACAGGAUUAGAUACCCGAGUAGUC
rnacentral:rRNA from 1 species